AAAAAAAUUUUUUUUUAAAUUUCUAUUACCCCAACCCCCACCCAAUUUAUUUGCUUUGUUUACAGUUGAUAAGACAAGCUGUCACACACAAAAUGACAGCUUCUAAAUCCUGUUUCCUGAUUGGGUGAAAAAUGAUCAAA